rnacentral:rRNA from 1 species
UACGAAGGGGGCGAGCGUUGUUCGGAAUUACUGGGCGUAAAGGGCGCGCAGGCGGCCCUUGAAGUCAGGCGUGAAAGCCCCCGGGCUCAACCUGGGAGGUGCGCUUGAUACUCGAGGGCUUGAGUGCGGGAGAGGAGAGUGGAAUUCCCAGUGUAGAGGUGAAACUCGUAGAUAUUGGGAAGAACACCGGUGGCGAAGGCGGCUCU